GACGUAGGGGGGCGAGCGUUGUCCGGAUUUAUUGGGCGUAAAGAGCGCGUAGGCGGCCCGGAAAGUCGGAUGUGAAAACCCGGGGCUCAACCCCGGGCCUGCAUCCGAUACUCCCGGGCUGGAGGCAGGUAGGGGAGAUCGGAAUUCCUGGUGUAGCGGUGAAAUGCGCAGAUAUCAGGAGGAACACCGGUGGCGAAGGCGGAUCUCUGGGCCUGUCCUGACGCUGAGGCGCGAAAGCUAGGGGAGCGAACAGG
rnacentral:rRNA from 1 species